rnacentral:rRNA from 1 species
GUGAAGCGGCAACAGCUCAAAUUUGAAAUCUGGCCUCACGGUCCGAGUUGUAAUUUGUAGAGGAUGCUUUUGGCGAGGUGCUUUCCGAGUUCCCUGGAACGGGACGCCAUAGAGGGUGAGAGCCCCGUACGGUAAGACCACCGAGCCUCUGUAAAGCUCCUUCGACGAGUCGAGUAGUUUGGGAAUGCUGCUCUAAAUGGGAGGUGUACGUCUUCUAAAGCUAAAUACCGGCCAGAGACCGAUAGCGCACAAGUAGAGUGAUCGAAAGAUGAAAAGCACUUUGAAAAGAGGGUUAAAAAGUACGUGAAAUUGUUGAAAGGGAAGCAUUCAUGACCAGACUUGGGCUUGGUUGAACAUCCGGCGUUCUCGCCGGUGCACUCUGCCAGUCCAGGCCAGCAUCAGUUUGCCCCGGGGGACAAAGGCGGUGGGAAUGUGGCUCUCUUCGGGGAGUGUUAUAGCCCGCCGUGUAAUGCCCUGGGGCGGACUGAGGAACGCGC